AGAGGACUGAGCUUUAAAAUGGUUUAAAGACGAACUACAACAUAACAAUGGAUGCUCGUUGCUUUGUGAUAUAUUUUGGUUACCUAACCCUGCCUUAUGUUUUGUCUCAAGAACCAAUCAAUAAAAUGUUUACUGUGGGUGCAGAGGGUCCAACCCCAGACCUAGCUUGUCUUGUCGGCUUCCAUAGUAUAGAUGCAGAUUUUAAUUUUAGAGUAAACUGCUCUGAAGCUCACGAGAUUGAGAUUCCUAUCAGCUUUGACCGCAGGAAGGAACUAAAAUGGGAGAAAAAGAAGAAAACAUUAAGAUUUGGAACACAAGAGGACAAUACACCCUGGCCCCAGCCGGUCAACUCCUGGGUGUGUUCCACAACCCCCCAGGCAGGAACAGUCACCUUUAACUGUGUUCCAGAGAACCAGGCACCCGACUGGUUUAAAGCCAAUAUCCAGGGCCCUGCACGGGGGCCGUACGGUCGUACGCCCGGCUGCAACGGGUUCAUGUGCUAUUGCAAUAAUUAUGAUUUCUGUAACGAUUCAGCUUCAUAUGGUCUUUCUCCGUUCUUACUGAUUUCAGCUUUUUUCAUUUUCCAGUUGUCAAAAAUGUUUUAAGAAAUAUUUUAAAGAAAUAUAUUUAUCAGUAUUUUCAAUAUUAUGUAGAUAAUUCAAAAAUGCAUGUUUAUUAUUUUCUAGCUUCAAGUUUGAAAUCAAUCGAAAUAAGAUUUCUCUGACAUUUUAAAAGAAAUCUAUACUAGACGUAUUAUUAUUUGUCUAAAACCUAUUAUUUGUAAAUACAUUUUUUGUAUUUUCCUCAUUACAAGACAGAACCAAUUUUAAAUGCUCUUUUGAAGAAGAUUUUUAAAAAGUUUCACUGUAUCUGCAAUUGUAAGUAUAGAAUAUCUCUUUUCCAAUAAACAAAGAGGAUUCAAAAAAAAGUUUGUAGCAAGAUAUUUGUUUUAUGCAUUCAUUUUUUAACAAUAACCAAAGUUUUAAGUUUCUAAAACAUCUUGAAAGCCCAGGUUUUAAUUCUUUGAACCUUUUUAAAACAUUUUAAUUAAAAAAUCAUACAUUUUUUGAGAAGGAUUAUAUGAAGCAUCUAAUUUCUAAUUUCUAAUGGAAUGCAGUAAAACAAGUAGAACCAGGCGUCGGACUGGUUUAAAGCAGUGCUAAGGGGUCCUGCAUACGGACCCUAUGGAAGAAAG
rnacentral:misc_RNA from 1 species